rnacentral:rRNA from 1 species
CAAAUUUGAAAUCUGGCUCUUUCAGGGUCCGAGUUGUAAUUUGUAGAAGAUGCUUUGGGUGUGGCCCCGGUCUAAGUUCCUUGGAACAGGACGUCAUAGAGGGUGAGAAUCCCGUAUGUGACUGGGUGCUUUCGCCCGUGUAAAGCUCUUUCGACGAGUCGAGUUGUUUGGGAAUGCAGCUCAAAAUGGGUGGUAAAUUUCAUCUAAAGCUAAAUAUUGGCCAGAGACCGAUAGCGCACAAGUAGAGUGAUCGAAAGAUGAAAAGCACUUUGGAAAGAGAGUUAAACAGUACGUGAAAUUGUUGAAAGGGAAGCGCUUGCAACCAGACUCGCAUGCCGCUGAUCAUCCGGGGUUCUCCCCGGUGCACUCGGUGGUCUACGGGCCAGCAUCGGUUUGGGUGGCGGGAUAAAGGCUGUGGGAAUGUAGCUUCUCUCGGGGAGUGUUAUAGCCCACGGUGCAAUGCCGCCUACCUGGACCGAGGACCGCGCUUCGGCUAGGAUGCUGGCGUAAUGGUUGUAAGCGACCCGUCUUGAAACACGGACCAAGGAGUCUAACAUCUAUGCGAGUAUUUGGGUGUUAAACCCAUAUGCGUAAUGAAAGUGAACGGAGGUAAGAACCCUUUAGGGUGCAUUAUCGACCGAUCCUGAUGUCUUCGGAUGGAUUUGAGUAAGAGCAUAGCUGUUGGGACCCGAAAAGAUGGUGAACUAUGCCUAAAUAGGGUGAAGCCAGAGGAAACUCUGGUGGAGGCUCGCAGCGGUUCUGACGUGCAAAUCGAUCGUCAAAUUUGGGUAUAGGGGCGAAAGACUAAUCGAACCAUCUAGUAGUGUC